rnacentral:rRNA from 1 species
AUGAAAUCAGUUGAUGAUUACACUACAUCCCACAUUGGUGGCCACAGACUUAAGAGUUUCGCCCAACGCUCGGCUGUGGGCACACGUGGUGGUAUCCUUCUGCUUUGGGAUGAUGAGGUGGUUCAUUUGUCCGAUGUCCACUUUCAAGCAUUCACCCUCUCAGCCACAGUUACUGUGUACCCCCAGAGCCCGACUCCUGUUUCCUUCAAGCUAACCAUGGUGUAUGGACCGACUAGAAGUAACCUCAAGGAUGCCUUCUUCGCCGAGCUUGUCUCCGAAAAGCCACCACAAGGUACCAUGUGGUUGGUCACGGGAGACAUCAACCAAAUUUAUCGGGCGCGAGAUAAAAACCGUGCAAAUGUAGAUCGGAGCCGCAUUGUCAGAUUUCGAGAUGCUCUCAACUCCUGUGAGCUUAAAGAGAUUCAUCUUCAGAAUAGGAGAUUCACUUGGAGUAAUGGACAGCAUGAGCCCACCUUGAGCAAGUUAGAUAGUUUUUUCUGCAAUGAAGUUUGGGACUUGGAAUUUGGCUCACACAUCCUGCAUGCUUUAUCAUCCUCCCUUUCUGACCACUGCCCCCUUCUGCUUGCAUCCGCGACCGGCCCCAAGCGCUCCAAA